CAGUCGCCGCGGUAAUACAGAGGGUGCGAGCGUUAAUCGGAUUUACUGGGCGUAAAGCGUGCGUAGGCGGCUUCUUAAGUCGGAUGUGAAAUCCCUGAGCUUAACUUAGGAAUUGCAUUCGAUACUGGGAAGCUAGAGUAUGGGAGAGGAUGGUAGAAUUCCAGGUGUAGCGGUGAAAUGCGUAGAGAUCUGGAGGAAUACCGAUGGCGAAGGCAGCCAUCUGGUCUAAUACUGACGCUGAGGUACGAAAGCAUGGGGAGCAAACAGGAUUAGAUACCCCAGUAGUCCUGUCUCUUAUACA
rnacentral:rRNA from 1 species